UACGUAGGGGGCAAGCGUUGUCCGGAAUCAUUGGGCGUAAAGCGCGCGUAGGCGGCCCUGUAAGUCCGUUGUGAAAGUCAAAGGCUCAACCUUUGAAAGCCGAUGGAUACUGCAGGGCUAGAGUCCGGAAGAGGCGAGUGGAAUUCCUGGUGUAGCGGUGGAAUGCGCAGAUAUCGGGAGGAACACCAGUGGCGAAGGCGACUACCUGGCCUGUUCUUGACGCUGAGGCGCGAAAGCUAGGGGAGCAAACGGG
rnacentral:rRNA from 1 species